rnacentral:rRNA from 1 species
UGCAAGUCGAACGAAGUAGCAAUACUUAGUGGCAGACGGGUGAGUAACAUGUAGGUAUCUGCCCUUUGGCCUGGAAUAACACGAGGAAACUUGUGCUAAUACUGGAUAAGUCUUUACGGAGAAAGCUUUAUGCACCAUUGGAUGAGCCUGCACUUGAUUAGUUUGUUGGUAGGGUAAUGGCCUACCAAGACUGUGAUCAAUAGCUGAUUUGAGAGGAUGAUCAGCCACAUUGGGACUGAGACACGGCCCAAACUCCUACGGGAGGCAGCAGUGGGGAAUCUUGCACAAUGGAGGAAACUCUGAUGCAGCGAUGCCGCGUGAGUGAAGAAGGCCUUUGGGUUGUAAAGCUCUUUCGUCGGGGAAGAAAAUGACUGUACCCGAAUAAGAAGGUCCGGCUAACUUCGUGCCAGCAGCCGCGGUAAUACGAAGGGACCUAGCGUAGUUCGGAAUUACUGGGCUUAAAGAGUUCGUAGGUGGUUGAAAAAGUUGGUGGUGAAAUCCCAGAGCUUAACUCUGGAACUGCCAUCAAAACUUUUCAGCUAGAGUAUGAUAGAGGAAAGCAGAAUUUCUGGUGUAGAGGUGAAAUUCGUAGAUAUUAGAAAGAAUACCAAUUGCGAAGGCAGCUUUCUGGAUCAUUACUGACACUGAGGAACGAAAGCAUGGGUAGCGAAGAGGAUUAGAUACCCUCGUAGUCCAUGCCGUAAACGAUGUGUGUUAGACGUUGGAAAUUUAUUUUCAGUGUCGCAGCGAAAGCGAUAAACACACCGCCUGGGGAGUACGACCGCAAGGUUAAAACUCAAAUGAAUUGACGGGGACCCGCACAAGUAGUGGAGCAUGUGGUUUAAUUCGAAGAUACGCGCAGAACCUUACCAACACUAGACAUGUUCGUCGCGACUCUAAGAGAUUAGAGUUUUCGGUUCGGCCGGACGAAACACAGGUGCUGCAUGGCUGUCGUCAGCUCGUGUC